AUUGCUUCUCAGCCUUUUGGCUAAGAUCAAGUGUAGAAAAGCCUGUUCAAAUAUUCUAGGCUUUUUUUACCCUUUAUGUGUCUAUAACAACUUGAGGUAUUAUUCAGAUUGUAAUAAAUUUAUAAUUUAAUGUGGUACAUUACAAACAUG
ensembl:snRNA U2 U2 spliceosomal RNA